rnacentral:rRNA from 1 species
AAGGUUUUUGGAUCGUAAACCCCUUUUGUCAAGGAAGAAGCUCUGACGGUACUUGACGAAUAAGCCUCGGCUAACUCCGUGCCAGCAGCCGCGGUAAUACGGAGGAGGCAAGCGUUAUCCGGAGUGAUUGGGCGUAAAGCGUCUGUAGGUGGCCAGCUAAGUCUGCUGUUAAAGAUCACAGCUCAACUGUGGGAAGGCAGUGGAAACUGGCAAGCUAGAGGUUGGUAGGGGUAAAGGGAAUUCCCGGUGUAGCGGUGAAAUGCGUAGAUAUCGGGAAGAACACCGGUGGCGAAAGCGCUUUACUGGGCCAGACCUGACACUGAAGGACGAAAGCUAGGGGAGCGAAAGGGAUUAGAUACCCCUGUAGUC